GACACAAAGUACAGUUUAAUACGGCAUUAGCAAAAUGUGUUAAAGAAUAAUUAACUUCAAAAUGUACGCACUCAAAGCUAACCUUCAUAUUGUGUUAAGAGAACAUAAUCGGAUCUCUGGCAUUUCAGAGACAGAAGCUACGAGUUCCUUACUCCAUUGUACUUGGUGGGGAAUCCAUUCUCCAUUGAGUUUGAAGAUUAAUUUGAGAUCUGAAAGUUCCAAUCUAGGAUCAAUGUAUUAAUAAUAUUUUCUCUGUUCUCUCUCUCUCCAGGAUCGGUGUGGAUAGUUUUGAACAUUCGACAGGUUUGCCCGUGAGACCUUCAACAGCUUACGGCUAUCGCCCAGAUGAGCCAUAUUACUACGGCAUUGGCGCGCGUUAAAUACGGCAUUAAUAAAUAUCGUCCCAUGUUCUGAUGGCUUGGAUGUUCUCUAACCAUGAUAAAGGCAUGCUUUAACCACUGUUAGUAUUUAUUGAAUUUUUAUAGUUAGUGUGCUAAUUUAUACGUUAUAUUUGUCGUCAAACUAAUGUUUUAUUUAUAAAUCACAGAUAACAGACAAUGUUAUUGAUAAAAAAAACUGUAACCCUACAACAUGGCGUCCUAAAUGUAUGUUAUAUGGUUUCAGCAAAUACAUAGCCUGAAACUUGUCUUAGCUUUCUACAUCUUCUGUCACAGCAGUUGGUGGAUCCGCAUACUGAUGGUCACUUCACUGGAAAUAACCCAUGAAUUAAAACAUUGAAAAUCACCUUUUUUAUUUAAUUUGUGUCUUCUUUUGUCAACAUUUUCUUUUUACUGUGUUGUUAUUCCAAUCUGGUUCAGGCCAGGCACAGCGAGGGCAUACAUUGCAUUGUUCGAUGCUAACUGCUAGAUGUUAAAGGUGGAGCUUGUAAUGAGGAUUGACAGGGAGCCAAGAUGGAGGCGCCCAGGUUAGAGCUAAAUGUGGCAGUCAGUAUUUCUACAUUUAAUUGAGUUUUUUUGCAUUAUAAAAACAUUUUACAUGACGG